UACGUAGGGUGCGAGCGUUAAUCGGAAUUACUGGGCGUAAAGCGUGCGCAGGCGGUUCGUUAUGUCCGAUGUGAAAGCCCCGAGCUUAACUUGGGAAUGGCAUUGGAAACUGGCGGGCUGGAGUGCGGCAGAGGGGAGUGGAAUUCCACGUGUAGCAGUGAAGUGCGUAGAGAUGUGGAGGAACACCGAUGGCGAAGGCAGCCCCCUGGGCCGACACUGACGCUCAGGCACGAAAGCGUGGGGAGCAAACAGG
rnacentral:rRNA from 1 species